rnacentral:rRNA from 1 species
ACGAGGGGUGCAAGCGUUAAUCGGAAUUACUGGGCGUAAAGCGUACGUAGGUGGUUUGUUAAGCCAGCUGUGAAAUCCCCGGGCUCAACCUGGGAAUUGCAGUUGGAACUGGCAAGCUAGAGUAGGGUAGAGGGGUGUGGAAUUCCAGGUGUAGCGGUGAAAUGCGUAGAUAUCUGGAGGAACAUCAGUGGCGAAGGCGACACCCUGGACUCAUACUGACACUGAGGUACGAAAGCGUGGGGAGCAAACAGG